ACCCACAGCAUGUGAAAGCUCCUGGGGCCAGGGUUCAAACUUGUGCCACAGUAGUGACCCAAUCCACUGCAGUGACAAUGCCAGAUCCUUAACCCACUCACAAGAGAACUCCACAAGAAAAAUUUAAAGGUUAUUCUAGUAACUAAGGUAUAAGAUUAAAGACAUUAUGAAUGUAAUUUUAAAUAUAUAUUCUAGAAAUUGUACAUUGUCUUUAAAAAGAGGUGGGAGAGUGAUAGUUUAAGGCCUUUGCUCACACAACCUCUCCUCUGAAUCAACAAGUCCUAUGAAGGAGUUCCCCAUUGUGUCUCAGAGGUAAUGAACCCAGCUAGUAUCCAUAAGAACUCGGAUUCAAUCCCUGGCCCCACUCAAUGGGUUAAGGAUCUGGAGUUGCCAUGAGCUGUGGUAUAGGUUGCAGAUGUGGCUCAGAUCCUGCGUUGCUGUGGUUGUGGCACAGGCCAGCAGCUGCAGCUCCAAUUCUACCCCUACCCUGAGAGCUUUCAUAUGCUGUGAGUGUGGCCCUAAAUUAAAAAAAAAAAAAAAUUUUAUAUUCAGACUGGUAAUGAGGAUAAGUGGUAUAAACGCAUAAGAAUUAAAAUCAAAUAUAGCCCUUAAAAUUUGCUUAGAAAUGGGCAUUUGUCUUACUCUUUAGCUCUCAAAGGAUAUAUUUAAUUAUUCCAAUUGAGUAUGCUUGUAUUGUAUAGGAGAUUAGGUCUCUCAGGUGAUGCUCUGUUGUCAAUGCCAAGUAAAUCCCUUUAGAAUUAUUUAAAACAUUUGAACCAUAUGACAUAAAUAUUAUCAUUAACUUGAUGGUAGAAAUACUCCCCAUAAAAAUCAAGAAGAUAGAGUUUUAUUACUACAUCUACUUUAAAAACCAUCAUCAGGUAAUCAACUAACCUUUAUAAAAACUCUUACUGGGAAAUACAGGUGAUAAAGCAUUUAAUUUUUUUGGUAGAAAUAUUAACCUAUAGAAAUAUUUAUUUAAGUUCUUUAAGGUUUUUUCCUUACAAUUCUUAUUUUUAAAUUUUUUACAUUCCUUAAAAUCCUUCCUCUACCCCAAGGUCCAUUGUAUAAGAUCUGAACAAAUGACUAUAAUUCAUUUGCAUUACUUCUGAAUUUAAGGGAAAAAAAACCUAAAUUUAGCCAAAAAUAAAUAAGUAAAAGCAUACUUUUACAGUAAUAACAGAAGUUUUUGGAACUUCUUCUAAUAAUAUGGUUUGCCAUAUAACUUACAGCUUCACAGAUGAAAUGGAAUUUUAGCCUAUGCAAUGAAAUGGUAUUUAAAACGUUUGUGUCAGAUAUUCCCUAUUAAAGAAAUUACAUGAGGAAGGAAUAUACUUUUAAAUCAUGCUUUUAAACUGCUGAUGUAAUUUUAGGGAGAUUUUCAGUUUAUUUUUUGAUUUUUAGAGAAAUAAAAUAUCAAUGUAAAACUCAUUUCUGUCUGAUUAAUUAUCAUCAACUGGGAAAACUGAAGGAAAACUGUUAGGUGACUUCACGUUGUCAAGUGUAAGGCACUUAAUGAAAAAACAUAUUCAAAUUAUGUAGAUAUAAAAUGUUCUCUUUGUUUGUUUUAGGGUCACACCUGCAACAUACGGAAGUUCCCAGGCUAGGGGUUGAAUCGGAGCUGUAGCUGCCAGCCUAUACCACAUCCAUGGCAAUGCCAGAUCUGAGCCUCAUCUGAGACCUACACCACACUUCACAAUGCCAGAUCCCUAACCCACUGAGCCAGGCCAGGGAUGCAACCAGAAUCAGGUUUGUAACCUGCUGAGCCACAACGGGAACUCCCUAAAAUGUUUAUUUUU
rnacentral:lncRNA from 1 species